AGAUCAGCCUGGCAGGGGAGACACCAUGAUCACCAUCUAGGUGGUUUUCCGAGGGUGAGGCCUAUCCCUUGCACUUGGGGCAAGCUAACUCCUGCAAGUUUCUCCAAAUGUGGGAAACUUGACUGCACAAUUUUUGGUAAUAGGGACUGCUUUCUUGCUUUCUCCUU
rfam:Alligator sinensis unplaced genomic scaffold scaffold93_2, whole genome shotgun sequence